rnacentral:rRNA from 1 species
CACGGAAGGGGCGGGCGUUAUUCUUCAUAACUGGGUGUAAAACGUGUGGUGAUAGCAUUUUUAAAAUUUUUAAAAUUUUUAAAAGUUUUAAAAAAGAAUAAAUUGUUCGAAUGCUACUUUUUAUAGAUAUAAAUUCAAUUUCUCGGUUUAAGGGUAAAAUUUUUUGAGACUGAGAGGAAAUCCAAAUUGGCGAAAGCAUUUGUUUAAGUAAAAAGUAUAUUUAAACAUCGAAAACUUGGGACAGCGAGAAGG